rnacentral:rRNA from 1 species
AACGAACGCUGGCGGCGCGCCUAAUACAUGCAAGUCGAGCGAGAAGGUGUAGCAAUACACUUGUAAAGCGGCGAACGGGUGAGGAAUGCAUGGGUAACCUACCCUCGAGUGGGGAAUAACUAGCCGAAAGGUUAGCUAAUACCGCAUACGUUUCCGGGACUUAGGUUCCGGAAAGAAAGCAAUACCGUGGGUAUUGCGCUCAUGGAUGGGCUCAUGUCCUAUCAGCUUGUUGGUGAGGUAACGGCUCACC